rnacentral:piRNA from 1 species
GACAAGGUGAUCCUAUGACAGAUAAGGC